rnacentral:rRNA from 1 species
CAUGGAGGGUGAGAAUCCCGUCCGGUUGAUCAGAUUCGCUUUACGAUACGCUUUCUAAGAGUCAAGUUGUUUGGGAUUGCAGCUUAAAAUGGGAGGUAAAUUUCUCCUAAGGCUAAAUAACGGCGAGAGACCGAUAGCGAACAAGUACCGUGAGGGAAAGAUGAAAAGAACUUUGAAAAGAGAGUUAAAUAGUACGUGAAAUUGUUGAAAGGGAAACGAUUAAAGCCAGUCGUACCGGCGGGUAAUCAGCCUUUUGGGUGUGAUUAUGUGGAACGUGAGGAGUUAAACGCCUUCAUGCCUGCAUAUUCGUGCACUUUGGGUGUACUUGCCCGUAUGGUUGGUUAACAUCAAUUUUGGUGGUCAUAAAAUGACUGGAGGAAUGUAGCUUCGAUCUCGUAUUGAAGUGUUAUAGCCUUCGGUAGAUGUGAUGAUCGAGAUUGAGGAUUGCAACGGAUACCCUUCGGGGCUACCUGUCUGAUCUCUGAUCGUUGCUCUGGUGCCGAAAGCUUGCUUACGGUUAUCAAAGUCGAUGGUCAAUAGGUUAGAACGGGUUAAAUUCGUUAAGGAUGUUGACGUAAUGG